GCUGGCCUGGGGACCCGGCGCGGCCGGAGCGCCGAGCGCCAUCACAGGCAAGUGGCAGCGCCCGGCGCGGCUCCUGCGGCCCCCAGCUCCCCGCCUGGGGCCUCUCUGUAGCCUCGGAGGGCGGUGUGGGGCUGUCGGGGCUCCGGGCGAAGCAGUGGUCCCGGCUUUUAAUAUCAGCAGACCUAAAACUYUUUAAUAACUUGUGUUUUAUUCGCCAGCGCAAACCCUUGCUCCUUGCUACUCUGCUGACCUACAGCCAGCGUCAGGCAGACUCAUCUCGGCGGUCAGCUGCACCGUGCUUCUGGCAGUCCCGCCGCUGAACGCCAGCGCCGUUGUGUUCUGGGAGUAUAAAAACGGCCCUCACGAAGAAAUCAUCCUCAAGUAUUAUCUCAAUAAGCCUGUAAAUACUGCUGCUUCCUACAAGAACCGUACAAAGUUCAACGAAACGGAUUUCUCCCUGCAAAUGGUGCUGCAGCGGGGGGACAGCGGAACCUACCGCUUCAGAACGGAGUCACAGGAAACGGACUGGUUCCAACUGGAAGUUAUUGAACCACUGCCUGCRCCAGAAAUCGUGGGCAACUCCUCUGUGAAAGCAGGAGGCAGCAUUAAACUGGUCUGCAACAUCCCGGAGGGGAAGGCAGACUCCUACUGGUGGAAGAAGAAUGGGGAGCUGCUGCUUGGGAGUGACCAUUUCCAGUUUGUUCGAAACAACACGUUGCACAUCAUUGAAGCGACAAUGAACGACAGCGGCUACUAUGCUUGUGUGGUCCGCAACAAAGUGAGCCAGAAUGAAACCUCCUUCCUGCUUCGUGUUCAGAACGCUGCAAAUAUGGUCUUACCUGUGAUGAUGGCAUGCGUUAUCGUUGGCUCUCUAAUAGGUGUUCUCGUCUGGUGUAGGAGGAGGGGCCGCUUUCGUCACUGUGUCCGUAGGUGGAGGGCCUGAGUGACUGCACCUUGCUCCCUUCCUCUCACGUAGGUGAUGGAUGCUAACCAGGGAGCACUGGCCACCUGCCAUCAUGCACAGCAGUCUGAUGCUGUCCCAGUCUCUUCCAGGCUCGCUUAUUAAUUGUUCAAGCUGCUAAAACCCACAGAUCCUUGCAGGACUUGUUUUACGAACAACACUGGCUUGGACUCCAUCUUCAUUGUCCUGUCCUUCCCAAGGCUCCUUGCACAUCUUUGGGGGAGAGGUAGGCAUGGCCUUCUCUGGAACACUGUCUGCUGCUUUUCUCCAGGCCUCGUUACCUUUCCUGGCUUUCUCCAAAGGCUGUGGGGGCACUUGGAGAGGGGCUGAUGGUUGUGGAUAGAGCUACCUGGCUGGGCAAACACAUGGCUCUGGAGGUUGCUGGAGAGUGACCGCAGGUGUUCUGCUACUCCUUGAUGGGAGACUCAAUGAGACUUGAAAUCCCUCACUGUGGCCUCAAUACCUCCUGGUGUGCUGCUGUUUUGGGGCACUUGGGGACUUGCUGGUGUGUCUUGGGGCUGAGAUCGUGGGGCUUCUUUUGUGUUUGGCCCUUGGAGGGAGGAGAAAAGGCAGGUUUUUGCUGUCACAUGCAUUAGGGAGUUCCAGGAGAUGAGUGGAGCCAGUUGAAGUCCACAAAGGAUGGAGGAGUGGCAUGUUAAUGGAUAUGACCUACAAUGUAGUUUUGUUUUGAAAAACAAACCCCGAAGAAAUUCUGACAACCAGCUGCUUUAGAGCAGCAGUGCAGCCUGACAUGUGCAUGCGAGACACAGGUAUGCUCCUAAGCCUGUCUCCCCUGUUCCCCCAGCCUUGGACUCAGGAAGGAUCUGAGGAUGUGCCCUCAUCUUCUGAGGGUUAGCACGUGGGUUGUACUUGUGACAGUGCAGACUUGUUCCUCCCUUUUGCCACUCCUGCGGGAGAUGAUGGUCGUGAUCUGAUUUGAUAUGGCCAGGGGCAACCCUUCUUUCCAGUCCCAAACUCCUGUCCAUGUCCCUUCCCCAUGCGCCUUCUGUGGAGCUCUUCUGGGCUCUGCUUAUAAAAAUGAUUGUUAUAACUGAAAUUACUUAGUUGGGGGCAUGGCCUUUCUCUCUCAGCACUGACAUCUUCACCCUGGAGAAAACUGGAUGCUUUCCUGGGAGCACUAGGUCUUGCUAAGUGCCUUUCUGAGUGUCAAGCUGGGCAGUUUGCACCCAUCUCUCAUUCUGACAGGGAGCCCCAGCAAGGCCAGCACCCUCUCUGAGCUGCUCCCCAGGCCCUUGGUGGAGUCAGCCAUUCUGAGUACUCUAGUCUAGCUACCGGACGAUCACUUCUCUCCUAGAGUGGGGCAGCUGAUGGCUUGAGGACCUCUUUCCUGUUGGCCUGCAGGCAGAAGGGGAACAGGUUUCUCCAAGUGGCUUCCAGGCUCUGCCCUGGGGUUGCUGGACCAGCCUGAUGCUCCUGUGUGCAGUUUCUCUAGCUCCUUCAGAGAUACAGUUCAGCUCUACAUAGCCAGAGGAAGAGAAAUCCCCAGCAGAGAAAUACCUCAGUAUGGUUCCUAGCAGAGAAAGAGUUGUCCUGGCCUCGUCGCAUUUACUUGCUGCAAGAGAGGAGACAGGAGAGUUGAGCUGUGCUUUCUUUGGUGUUUUGUUCAUGUAGGUGGUUUUUGUCUCCUGGUUGUUGUGAUUGGAUUUUGAAAGCAAUUUCUGAAUAUUUAGCAUUGUCCAAAGAAAACACUAAAGCAGUCAGCAAAUGGAGAGAGAUGAGGGUUGAUUUUACUGUAGUUUGUGUUUUGCCUGUAGACCAUAACUCACUUCUACAGAAAAGGGCAUUCCCAGCGACCUGGGAGCUCCGAGUUUCACACUCUGUUCCGAAUUCUGYCUUCUCUUUGGAGAAGAGUUGACCUGUUGGCUAUUUCUAGGAAAAUCCUUUGAAAUGUAAGUUAAAGCUGACAUGCACAAAAGCAAAAUUUCUGUGAAGCUGGUUUGAAAAAAAAAAAAGUUGGAAAUUAUUUGGUUGGUUGUUUGUUGCUGAAGAGUUCUGGUCACAUUUGUGCUUUUUACUCUGCGGGAGAAUAAACUAACUCAUGACUUGACUUUUUURGGCUCU
rnacentral:lncRNA from 1 species